rnacentral:rRNA from 1 species
ACUCCUACGGGAGGCAGCAGUAGGGAAUCUCCCACAAUGGGCGCAAGCCUGAUGGAGCAACACCGCGUGAGUGAAGAAGGGUUUCGGCUCGUAAAGCUCUGUUGUUAAAGAAGAACACGUAUGAGAGUAACUGUUCAUACGUUGACGGUAUUUAACCAGAAAGUCACGGCUAACUACGUGCCAGCAGCCGCGGUAAUACGUAGGUGGCAAGCGUUAUCCGGAUUUAUUGGGCGUAAAGAGAGUGCAGGCGGUUUUCUAAGUCUGAUGUGAAAGCCUUCGGCUUAACCGGAGAAGUGCAUCGGAAACUGGAUAACUUGAGUGCAGAAGAGGGUAGUGGAACUCCAUGUGUAGCGGUGGAAUGCGUAGAUAUAUGGAAGAACACCAGUGGCGAAGGCGGCUACCUGGUCUGCAACUGACGCUGAGACUCGAAAGCAUGGGUAGCGAACAGGAUUAGAUACCCUGGUAGGAUAGCG